AGCCUUAACAACCGGACCAAUAUUACUGUUUAUAUAUAUGUUAUUACCGGUGAUUAAAAUAGAUCCUUCGUUGUACCCGUUCCCCCGCGCAUUUAGCGAUCUAUUUCGUGUCAUGGACCCGCUCCACAGACCGCAGGACGACACGGACGUGCUCCUAGAUUUUGAUACGGGUCCUGUUCACUUCCAGGUCACUGAAGCGGGCCAGAAGGAUUGUCGCUGACCCCUCCCAUCCUGGUCACUCCCUGUUCGAGUCCCUCCCCUCUGGAAGGAGGCUGCGGUCCAUCAGGACAAAGACCUCCCGCCACACCAAAAUCUUUUUCCCGUCGGCAGUCGGGCUCAUCAAUGGAGCCCGGGUCCCCCACUGACUGACUCUGUCACCCCCAGGACUACCUCCUCUUCUUCCUCCUUCCUCUCUCCUCCUUCUUCCCGCUCCUUCCUCUUCCUCCUCCUCCUCCUUCUUCUUCUUCUUCUUCCUCCUACUCCUCCUCCCUCCUCCUUCUUCUUCCCUCCUGGAGGCCUCCUUUUUAAUGCAGGACUCUAAUAAAAAUCAGUUAAAUACUCUUUAAGUUAUAGCCUACAUGAGGUGGUAAUAAUAUGUAUAUUGUAAGAUCUGUAUACUGUAUACUGCAGGACUCUAAUAAAAAUCAGUUAAAUACUCUUUAAGUUAUAGCCUACAUGAGGUGGUGUUGCAGACAGCUAGACAGCUUGACACGUCAAGUUUGUCAUGGUCUUUAUGCUGUUUUUUAAAUCUAUUUUCACCACUGUGUCUGGGGACCAUGUUUGUCUACUCAAGGGACCAACUGGUGGCUUUUCCAGACGCGGCGGUGCUGCUGCCCGAGGAAGGACAGCUGGAGGCGAAGGCAGGCAGCGGAGAGAGCAAUACCAACCACAGUCGGGAGACGGCCACGCGAUCUAGAGCCAGUCAGUGAUCUCCAAAGUGGUCUUCUGCAGCAGCAGCAUGGCAGCGGCUGACUGGUAACAACCUGAUCGGCACCAUGCAGUGUCCGGCUAAAAUCCAUUACCAUCCAUGCGCGUCUUCCAUACAGCGUUCCCUGUGGCCAGCUCCUCGUGCAUCCACUUCACUUCAAGCCGCUCCUCAAUCAAGUUAUGAAUACAACCAACAUCACCUGGGGUGAAGAGGAGAAGAGGAUGUUCAUGGAUCUCAAAGAGCCCCACUGCAAUGAAUCUGUUCUCCAUCCAAACCGUUGCCCCAUUCUGAAGGGGACACUUGCUAUCUUUAUUCAUUAUUUACCUUUUAUGUUAAAAUACUUUUAAUUGACGUAACGAUUCUAUGCGUAGCCAUCUAAAAACUAGUGUAUAAUACUGACAAAUUAUUAAUUAAAAUGUACCUUUUAGGAGAAUGUAUAUUUGUGUGAUCUUACUCAUUGACUAUAAAAAAGGUUCUGAAGGAAGAGGGAAUGCAAUUAAGACUUGCUAGCAGAUAUUAUCUUCAGUUUGUAAAAGUUUAUAGAAGCUGGUGGUUCUAUGUGGAAAAAAAAGUCUGAACGCCAUUGUCGACAGUCAUCAGACUUCUCGGUUAGUUUGGUGAAAAGUUUUUCUGCAGAAGUAGAAUUUAGCCAUUACCUCUUCGUUCAAUAAAGGCAGAACACAAAUGCUGUGUUCUGCACACGGCGAGAAUACAUUUCCAGCCACACACGGAGGAAAUGACGAUCAUAAAAGAUCAUAUUCAGACAACCAGAUAGCAAUUUAAAAUAUCUGGCAGAGAAUGUGUCACAUCUGAUUCUCAUGCACACUGACACAUUGUGUUGGUUUGAAAAGGAAUGGCAUUCAAAUAUAUAUUAGACCAAUGAAAUACUGCUAUUUUGUCAAAUGAGUGAAACAAGUUGACUGAUCAUGCACAUUCCUACUUUGUAAUGCUAUUGUUGGAUGCUAAGAAAAUACUGAAGCAAAAUAAAAAACGACAAGAUGUAGAACCUUAGCUGCAAAACCCCCAACAUGUUGAUCCAAGCUAAAGUGAGUAAGUUCUCUUCACUGUUUGACCUCGUGAUGACGGAUACUUGCAGUUUACAUGUGAGACCUAUUUGGCUAGAAGGAAGAGAUGAUUUGCCUGGCUCUCUGAUUUUACCUAAGCAAAUAGCAACACAUAUAAAUGCUUCUGUAGUGUAUUUUGCAUUACAGCUCUUAAAGAUACAGCUAUAUAUAUAUAUUGAUAUGGGCUCAGAGGCCCACAAGGUUUCCAUGGUAGAGAAUACCAUUGUUUAGAGUUGGACCAGAUGGUUUACAUUAGGAGACUCUUAUGGAAUGACGUGAUUCUGCUCCAAGGCUGGAGCAGUACGCCCAUUCCUGCUUCCUUAAAAGAGGUAACACAAAUUCAUUUGUGUGGGUUUCGUGGAUUCUCUGGACCUUCUGAAAUCACCCGGGCUGUAAGCAGUAUACGCUCGUAAUUAGACCUGUUUUCUUUCUGUAAUAAAACUGCAUUAUAUCAGCAACAA